rnacentral:rRNA from 1 species
UACGUAGGGGGCUAGCGUUGUCCGGAAUCAUUGGGCGUAAAGAGCGUGUAGGCGGUCCGGUAAGUCCGCUGUGAAAGUCCAGGGCCCAACCCUGGGAUGCCGGUGGAAACUGUCGGGCUAGAGUCCGGAAGAGGCGAGUGGAAUUCCUGGUGUAGCGGUGAAAUGCGCAGAUAUCAGGAGGAACACCAAUGGCGAAGGCAGCUCGCUGGGACGGUACUGACGCUGAGACGCGAAAGCGUGGGGAGCAAACAGG